UAAUGGCUCACCAAGGCGACGACGGGUAGCCGGCCUGAGAGGGUGACCGGCCACACUGGGACUGAGACACGGCCCAGACUCCUACGGGAGGCAGCAGUGGGGAAUAUUGCACAAUGGGCGCAAGCCUGAUGCAGCGACGCCGCGUGAGGGAUGACGGCCUUCGGGUUGUGAACCUCUUUCAGUAGGGAAGAAGCGAAAGUGACGGUACCUGCAGAAGAAGCGCCGGCUAACUACGUGCCAGCAGCCGCGGUAAUACGUAGGGCGCAAGCGUUAUCCGGAAUUAUUGGGCGUAAAGAGCUCGUAGGCGGUUUGUCGCGUCUGCCGUGAAAGUCCGGGGCUCAACUCCGGAUCUGCGGUGGGUACGGGCAGACUAGAGUGAUGUAGGGGAGACUGGAAUUCCUGGUGUAGCGGUGAAAUGCGCAGAUAUCAGGAGGAACACCGAUGGCGAAGGCAGGUCUCUGGGCAUUAACUGACGCUGAGGAGCGAAAGCAUGGGGAGCGAACAGGAUUAGAUACCCUGGUAGUCCAUGCCGUAAACGUUGGGCACUAGGUGUGGGGGACAUUCCACGUUUUCCGCGCCGUAGCUAACGCAUUAAGUG
rnacentral:rRNA from 1 species